UGCAAGUCGCACGGACGUAGCAAUACGUUAGUGGCGAACGGGUGAGUAAUGAAUCGCUAAUGUACCCCGGACUUUGGGAUAGCUGCCCGAAAGGGCAGGUAAUACCAGAUGACAUAACUUCUUCGCAUGAAGGAGUUCUCAAAGGUUCGCCGGUCUGGGCGCAGGCGAUUUCGUAUCAGCUAGUUGGUGAGGUAACGGCUCACCAAGGCGACGACGCGUAGCCGGACUGAGAGGUUGGCCGGCCACAUCGGGACUGAGACACUGCCCGGACUCCUACGGGGGGCUGCAGUAACGAAUCUUCCCCAAUGCACGAAAGUGUGAGGGAGCGACGCCGCGUGUGGGACGAAGUCCUUCGGGAUGUAAACCACUGUCAGGGGAUACCAAGUUCUGAGGAUCCCCAGAGGAAGAGGCGGCUAACUCUGUGCCAGCAGCCGCGGUAAGACAGAGGCCUCAAGCGUUAGGCGGAAUCACUGGGCUUAAAGCGUGUGUAGGCGGAUCGUUAAGUGUCUUGUGAAAUCCCACGGCUCACCCGUGGAACUGCUGGGCAUACUGGCGAUCUUGGGCCAACUAGGGGCAACUGGAACAAGCGGUGGAGCGGUGAAAUGCGUAGAUAUCGCUUGGAACGCCAAAGGUGAAAACAGGUUGCUGGGGUUGUGCCGACGCUGAGACACGAAAGCCAGGGGAGCAAACGGGAUUAGAUACCCCGGUAGUCCUGGCCCUAAACGAUGUCCACUAGAUUGCGGCGGGUUUGACCCCGUCGCGGUCGAAGCAAAAGUGUUAAGUGGACCGCCUGGGAAGUACGGUCGCAAGGCUAAAACUCAAAGGAAUUGACGGGGGCUCACACAAGCGGUGGAGCAUGUGGUUCAAUUCGAAGCAACGCGCAGAACCUUACCUGGGUUUGACAUGACUGGAUUAUCC
rnacentral:rRNA from 1 species